rnacentral:misc_RNA from 1 species
UACGGAGGGUGCGAGCGUUAAUCGGAAUUACUGGGCGUAAAGCGAGCGUAGGCGGCUAAGUAAGCCGGUUGUGAAAGCACCGGGCUCAACCUGGGAAUGGCAUCCGGAACUGUUUAGCUAGAGUGCAGCAGAGGAAGGUAGAAUUCCCGGUGUAGUGGUGAAAUGCGGAGAGAUCGGGAGGAAUACCAGUGGCGAAGGCGGCCUUCUUGUCUGACACUGACGCUGAGGUGCGAAAGCGUGGGUAGCAAACAGG